AGAAUUUCUCUAUCCUCCUUUCUUCUCAUAGAUCACACCCUACUUACUAAUCAAGCCAAAGACCAAGUCCCAUUGAAGCAAAUGUUCAGCUGUCUCCUAUUGGAUUAAUUCAUAAUCCAAAAAUUAAAAAAAAUACAGGCCAGAAAUGAAAAGAAAUAUAUAUAGAGGAGGAGGAGGGAGGGAGGGACCUUUGAGGUAGACAGAUGAGUCAUAAAUAUAAAUCUGGUAUUCUGAUGCCUUAAAUAAUUGUUGGGUAUCCAAAUCUCUCUGCUUUUUAUCUCUACAACAAUCCUUCAAUCACUAUAAAGUCCCAGAGCUUUUGUCACUCCGAUCAUUCCGACAUCUGCUUCCUCCUCGCUCUCUGAUUUUCCGGGAAUCCCAUUUCCUUUUUCUCUCAUUUUCCGGUAUAAAAUCGUGUACUACACAAAAGCAAACUCGGAUAUUCCCGACUCUUUCUGCUCAGCUUUUCUUUCCUUUCGCAAAUUUCGCUUCCUGGGUUUGAUUUCGGCUUAUCGUCUGAUUGAAGUGUCGUGACCUUUGAUCACAGAGAAGAGUUUUCGUGUUCGUGUCGACCGUUUGAGUUUCCUUAAAGGUUAGUUAACAAAACAGAAACAGGAGAGAGAAAAAAGAGUGACCGUUUGUUUGCCCGGAGAAUUGGCCGGAAAUAUAAAUAUCUCGGGUGUACGUAAAGGGAAUUGGUAACGUUGUUGCCAACGAAGACUCUCUGUAAGAGAAGACUGAGUAGUCCCUUUGAACUACCUCUUCCUCCUCCCCCGUGAUUUUUUCGUCAAAAAAUAGAAGUCUUUCUUCCUUCUUCUUCUUCUUCUUCUUUGCCAACGUAGGCCCAUUUCACUUCUGUCUUCAAAGAGAAAUCAAAUCCCGACAAUCAGUCUCUCUCUCUCUCUCUCUCUCUCUCUCUCUCCUCCUCCUCUCUCUUCUUUCUUUUCUUUUCUUUUCUUUUCUUUCUUUCUUUCUUUACUUUUACUUUUACUUUUACUUUUACCUUUUACCGUUUUACCGUUUUUACCGGUUUUUACCGGGUUUUUCCGGGUUUACGGGUUUACGGGUUACGGGUUACGGGUUACGGGUUACGGUUACGGUUUACGGUUUUUCGGUUUUUCGGUUUUUUCGGUUUUUACGGUUUUACGGUUUACGGUUACGGUACGUACGUACGUACGUACGUACGUACUACUCCUCCUCUCUCUCUCUCUCUCUCUCUCUCUCUCUCUCCUCCUCCUCCUCCUCCNCNGUUUUUUUUUUUUUUUUUCCAUUUUCUCUCUCUAUUUUUAUAUAGCUUUUUCCGACUCUGUUUUCCGGGUUGGGUGAGAGAAGGCUCGUGCUUUUGUUUUUUGGUUUCUCAGAGCGAGCCGAAAACUUGAAUUCGCUCUCUCCCCUCCUCUCUUGUACAAUCUCUCCAUCUUUUUCCAGACAUGAUUUUGGACAAAGGCUCAAUGCAAUCAAACCUUGAAUGCUUCCUACAUGGUACAACCCCUGUGCUCCAACCCCAAUUCUUGCCCAAGGUUUGUUCUUUUGUAAUCAAUUGUGUAAUUUUUUUAUUGGAUUGAUCCUAUUUUUGGGUUUAAUUAAGAUGAUUAUGUUGUUGUUGCAGUCUGAGAUUAGGAACCUUAAUCGUCUAUGGCACCCGUGGGAGAGGGAAAACGUUGAGUAUUUCACAUUGAGUGAUUUGUGGAAUUGUUUUGAUGAAUGGAGUGCUUAUGGUGCCGGAGUUCCGAUCACCUUGGAUAGCGGUGAGACCCUUGUGCAGUAUUAUGUCCCUUAUCUCUCUGCUAUCCAAAUCUUCACCAGCAAUUCGUCUGUAAAUAGCUUCAGGUACUGAGUUCUAUUCUCAAAUCUCAACCUCCAAAAUGACCAUUCUGAGGUGUGUGCUUAGAAAAACGGUAAAAAUUACAUUGGUAACUUUUUUCUAGCUGUGCCCGGUCGGUUAUGUAAUUUGUCUUUUUGUCACAAUCAACAUUAUGAAUUGCUGGUUUUGACUUUUGAUAAUGUCAAAUUCAUAUGGUGUGUGAUUAAAAUGAUGGAUUCUGAUAUAGGGUAGUUGGGUUACAUCGAAUUGGUGAUUCAUCCCCUUCUGAUUUCUACAAUUAAAUGGGUUUUUGGUCUUUUUAAUUAUGGUGUUGAUCUUUAUUUGAUGCAUGUAAUGACAGAAACAACGUUUAAACUGAUUAUUGCAGGG
rnacentral:lncRNA from 1 species